GUUUGCUUGGCAGGAGCACUCGAGGCAAUGAAUCUGGGGAUCUGCUGUGUGUAUGUCUUCAGGUGACUCCUACCCUGCUCUGCUCAGAACACACAGGACAAAAGAUACUCCUGUAGUCAUCCAUGUCUUUAAAGGCUUCUAAGGACAUCAACGUGUUAAAAAAUUGCAUCCCUACCCAUAAAAUAAAAUAGCCACUCUUCAGAGCCAGUAUCACCAGACAAUCUGGAUGCCCUGAAGUCCCUGGCUCUGUGGAACGUGCACCACUUAGGACUCCUGCUGGCAAGAGCAAGACAGAGUGCUCUACCUUGGCAUGGAAUAAACAUGUUAGAGAGAGUAAAGCUGCAUAAAGAAGGCUGGAAAUGUACAGUGCUAAUCCUGCUUCAAAGCAUCUCCAAGUUCAGAGCACUCAAUGGGGAAAGAGGACCACGGAUUUGAUCCGGUUCAGAGGGCUGCCAGAGCAGCUGUGGAGAAACAUGUUCAGCUCACGAUGCUUCCAGAUGCAGCCACGCCUCCUCACCUGCAACAAGGACCCUGUCCCACUGCUCCUGGGUUCAUGACUUUGCCCCCAGCCUCUCUGCAUCCUCAUUUCUCUGUACAGGAAACUCCCACUUUGAGCUGCUUCUGCCAGUUUAAAGGCCACAUUUCCCAGUGGCAAUUUUUAGAAGAGCCCAAGGAAGCUCAGAGGAGAUGAAGCCAUGCAAGGCCCACCUCUGGCUGCGCAGGAUCAGCAUAUGUCCUGGAGCCAGCUGCCUGACCUGCCUGCAUUGAGAAGAAAGGAUGGGGGUGGAAGAGGAAAGCAGUCAGCCAACCUGUUAUGUAAUCCAAAGGCAUUAUUUUGUGACCUUUAUUUCUUCCUAAAGAACAAAAGAAAAGCAGAAGCAGACUGCCUAGAGAGCUGCUGCUCCUUGAACCUGGACAGUGUGCACUCAGCACUGCAAGGAGACGUCCAGCAGACAGCAUUCAGUGUGCACCGUAGCUGCCCUAACUAUCAAGCUCUGAUACAGAUGUUCAUUGAACUGCCAGGGCAUUGGGAGGAAAAUAAAUUACUUGUGAGUGGAAGAAAGUUAGUUAAAUCUUUUCUGGAAGUAUUAUAUAGCCAUUAAAUUGUAUGGGAAACUCAAUAGUAAUGGGUAAUGAUGUCUUUCCAGGGAAUUAAAUAGAAGCUGGAUUCACCAUGCUGCUUGGUAUUCAGGGUAGAGUGUUCCACCUUCCUGGUAGAGGAUAAGCAUUUACUAAUCAGUCCUCACAAAGCCUCAGUGAGGCAGAUCUCUUCACACCACUGGUUCUGUUUAAUAAAUGGAAACAAGGAGAUACAACACACA